GAUGAACGCUGGCGGCGUGCCUAAUACAUGCAAGUCGAGCGAACGGACGAGAAGCUUGCUUCUCUGAUGUUAGCGGCGGACGGGUGAGUAACACGUGGAUAACCUACCUAUAAGACUGGGAUAACUUCGGGAAACCGGAGCUAAUACCGGAUAAUAUUUUGAACCGCAUGGUUCAAAAGUGAAAGACGGUCUUGCUGUCACUUAUAGAUGGAUCCGCGCUGCAUUAGCUAGUUGGUAAGGUAACGGCUUACCAAGGCAACGAUGCAUAGCCGACCUGAGAGGGUGAUCGGCCACACUGGAACUGAGACACGGUCCAGACUCCUACGGGAGGCAGCAGUAGGGAAUCUUCCGCAAUGGGCGAAAGCCUGACGGAGCAACGCCGCGUGAGUGAUGAAGGUCUUCGGAUCGUAAAACUCUGUUAUUAGGGAAGAACAUAUGUGUAAGUAACUGUGCACAUCUUGACGGUACCUAAUCAGAAAGCCACGGCUAACUACGUGCCAGCAGCCGCGGUAAUACGUAGGUGGCAAGCGUUAUCCGGAAUUAUUGGGCGUAAAGCGCGCGUAGGCGGUUUUUUAAGUCUGAUGUGAAAGCCCACGGCUCAACCGUGGAGGGUCAUUGGAAACUGGAAAACUUGAGUGCAGAAGAGGAAAGUGGAAUUCCAUGUGUAGCGGUGAAAUGCGCAGAGAUAUGGAGGAACACCAGUGGCGAAGGCGACUUUCUGGUCUGUAACUGACGCUGAUGUGCGAAAGCGUGGGGAUCAAACAGGAUUAGAUACCCUGGUAGUCCACGCCGUAAACGAUGAGUGCUAAGUGUUAGGGGGUUUCCGCCCCUUAGUGCUGCAGCUAACGCAUUAAGCACUCCGCCUGGGGAGUACGACCGCAAGGUUGAAACUCAAAGGAAUUGACGGGGACCCGCACAAGCGGUGGAGCAUGUGGUUUAAUUCGAAGCAACGCGAAGAACCUUACCAAAUCUUGACAUCCUUUGACAACUCUAGAGAUAGAGCUUUCCCCUUCGGGGGACAAAGUGACAGGUGGUGCAUGGUUGUCGUCAGCUCGUGUCGUGAGAUGUUGGGUUAAGUCCCGCAACGAGCGCAACCCUUAAGCUUAGUUGCCAUCAUUAAGUUGGGCACUCUAAGUUGACUGCCGGUGACAAACCGGAGGAGGGUGGGGAUGACGUCAAAUCAUCAUGCCCCUUAUGAUUUGGGCUACACACGUGCUACAAUGGACAAUACAAAGGGCAGCGAAACCGCGAGGUCAAGCAAAUCCCAUAAAGUUGUUCUCAGUUCGGAUUGUAGUCUGCAACUCGACUACAUGAAGCUGGAAUCGCUAGUAAUCGUAGAUCAGCAUGCUACGGUGAAUACGUUCCCGGGUCU
rnacentral:rRNA from 1 species